rfam:Methanospirillum hungatei JF-1, complete genome.
GCGAGGAUCGCCGAGCCAGGUCAAAGGCGUUAGGUUCAGGGCCUAAUCCCGUAGGGGUUCGCCGGUUCAAAUCCGGCUCCUCGCA